ensembl:lncRNA
UACAGACAGUACAGACAGGUAGAGACAAGUACAGACAGGUACAGACAGUACAGACAAUACACACUGGUACAGGCAGUACACACUGGUACAGGCAGUACACACAGGUACAGACAGUACACACAGGUACAGACAGGUACAAACAGGUACACACAAGUACAGACAGUACACACAAUUACAGACAGUACAGACAGUACAGACAGGUAGAGACAGUACAGACAAUACACACAGGUACAGACAGGUAGAGACAAGUACAGACAGGUACAGACAGUACA